GGUUAAGUGACUAAGCGUAUACGGUGGAUGCCUUGGCAGUCAGAGGCGAUGAAGGACGUAGUAACUUGCGAAAAGCGUUGGCGAGCUAGUAACAAGCAUUUGAGCUAACGAUGUCCGAAUGGGGAAACCCACUCACAUAAGUGAGUAUCAUAUACUGAAUACAUAGGUAUAUGAGGCAAACCCGGGGAACUGAAACAUCUAAGUACCCGGAGGAACAGAAAUCAACCGAGAUUCCCCUAGUAGCGGCGAGCGAACGGGGAUUAGCCCUUAAGUCUAUGGGGUGUUAGUGGAAUGAGUUGGAAAGCUCAGCGGCACAGGGUGAUAGCCCCGUACAUGAAAACUAACCAUAGAUGAAAACGAGUAGGACGGGACACGUGACAUCUUGUCUGAACAUGGGGGGACCAUCCUCCAAGGCUAAAUACUCCUGACUGACCGAUAGUGAACCAGUACCGUGAGGGAAAGGCGAAAAGAACCCCUGUGAGGGGAGUGAAAUAGAACCUGAAACCGUAUACGUACAAGCAGUGGGAGCGGUUCCAUUCUUCGGAAUAAGAGACCGUGACUGCGUACCUUUUGUAUAAUGGGUCAGCGACUUACAUUUUGUAGCGAGGUUAAGCGAAUAGCGGAGCCGUAGGGAAACCGAGUGUUAACUGCGCGUAUCUUUAAUUAGAGAAGUUGCAAGGUGUAGACCCGAAACCCGGUGAUCUAUCCAUGGGCAGGUUGAAGGUUGAGUAACAUCAACUGGAGGACCGAACCGACUUAUGUUGAAAAAUGAGCGGAUGACUUGUGGAUGGGGGUGAAAGGCCAAUCAAACCGGGAGAUAUCUGGUUCUCCUCGAAAGCUAUUUAGGUAGCGCCUCGAGCGAAUACCAUUGGGGGUAGAGCACUGUUAAGGCUAGGGGGUCAUCCCGACUUACCAACCCUUUGCAAACUCCGAAUACCAAUGAGUACUACUCGGGAGACACACGGCGGGUGCUAACGUCCGUCGUGGAAAGGGAAACAACCCAGACCAUCAGCUAAGGUCCCAAAGUUAUUGCUAAGUGGGAAACGAUGUGGGAAGGCUUAGACAGCUAGGAUGUUGGCUUAGAAGCAGCCAUCAUUUAAAGAAAGCGUAAUAGCUCACUAGUCGAGUCGGCCUGCGCGGAAGAUUUAACGGGGCUAAGCAAUACACCGAAGCUAUGGGUUUGCUAGUUUACUGGCAAGCGGUAGAGGAGCGUUCUGUAAGCCGUUGAAGGCGAAGGGGUAACCCACGCUGGAGGUAUCAGAAGUGCGAAUGCUGACAUGAGUAACGAUAAAGGGAGUGAAAAACUCCCUCGCCGAAAGACCAAGGUUUCCUGUCCAAUGUUAAUCAGGGCAGGGUAAGUCGACCCCUAAGGUGAGGCCGAAAGGCGUAAUCGAUGGGAAACAGGUUAAUAUUCCUGUACUUCUGCUAACUGCGAUGGAGAGACGGAGAAGGCUAGGCUAGCGCGGCGUUGGUUGUCCGCGUUUAAGGUUGUAGGUUGUAUUCUUAGGCAAAUCCGGGGAUACGCAUUAAAUUGCAAGACUGAGGACUGAUGACGAGACCCUAAGGGGUUGAAGUAGUUGAUGCCAUGCUUCCAGGAAAAUCUUCUAAGCUUCAGGUUAGUAGGAAUCGUACCCCAAACCGACACAGGUGGUUGGGUAGAGAAUACCAAGGCGCUUGAGAGAACUCGGCUGAAGGAACUAGGCAAAAUGGUACCGUAACUUCGGGAGAAGGUACGCUCCUAGCGGUGAUGAGACUUGCUCUCUAAGCUGCCGGGAGUCGCAGAUA
rfam:Shewanella benthica KT99 1099576005675, whole genome shotgun sequence.